rnacentral:lncRNA from 1 species
ACUUGACUUUCUCCUGACAUUUCUCCUUAAUGAUAAAUUGGAAAAUUCAAAUUUUGACUCUUCAGCCAUCAGAGUGUGGAGUAUCAAACAUUGAUUAUUCAAACUUAUGAACUAGUGAACCAACCCAUCAUGGCUCAAGAAAAUAAUUAUCCAUCUCUGCAUUUAUAACUCCCUGCUGCUGUUCACCCUGAAGCACACUAUGUAGACUUGCCAUGUGCAAAGCAGCUUCUUAGCCAAUCAAUAUCCACAACUGCUGGGAAGGAUACCUGCUUAUCUCUUUGCGGUGCUACUGCCAAUCACCAGACUAAACAUCAUUUCUAUUCCAUGGCAACGUUUUAAGUCAGACCAUCUGGAAUGUCUCCAGAUUUGGUAAAAAUGCAAAUAAAACUUUGCUUUACAUUCACCUAGCAAUGAAUAAAAAUUAACAUAUUCUUAUUUGACCAUAUUGUUCUCCCCUCCUGGGAAUCCAAUACUUUGUAUACCUUACUGUAGUUCUAAAUAAUGUGGACAGUUUGACUGGUACUUUUACAUCAUAGGUAGGAGUACAUUUGUGUAAUUCCUGUUUUUCCAAAACUCGUAAUGAGUCAUUUAACUAUCAUUAAUUUUAGAAAGUAAACCUUUAGGCUAAAAAAACAAAUACUCUUUAGUUAUUUCAAUCUUUUUCCAGAGGAAAAGAGAAAAAAGCACUGGAGUGUGCUAAAAAGGCUCACAGUAUUUAGGAGCAAUCGCCACAUCUUUCUGUCAUCCUCUUCUCUAGGUCAUGAGAUCAUACAUGUUGCUAUUCUUCUGACUUCUAAGCAGGAUACUCAAGAGAUCCUUCCAAGCAAUGUGAGUCACAGGCCCCCAUCCCUUUCCCCCAUAGCUGCCUCCCAUAGUAAAAUUCUGUGGGAGUCUGUCACAUAUUAAACCUAUAGAUUCCUCUAACCAUAUCAAGUUCACUACCUCUGUAUUGCAGGGCAAGGUAGCAGCUGUCCAUCUCACUUUACCAUUACAUUUAUGUAGCUAUGAAAAUAAUGCAUACAAUUGGAGAAUAUUCAGUUAAAGGGAUGUGUGAGCCUUCUUUAUUUCCCUAUUAGAAGGAUUAGGUUGAAAGAAGAAUAAAUAGUUGAAAGUAUCUAAUAUGCUCUUCAAAGAAAGAUGAGUUUUGAAUCACACCUAUUUUUGUGUUUAACAAUUAUAUUAAUUGCUUUUCUUUUUUAAUUUGUAUAAAUUUAUGGGGUGCAAGUGUAGUUUUGUUACAUGUAUAUAUUGCAUAGUGGUGAAGUCAAGGCUUUUAGGGUAUCCAUCACAAAAAUAAUAUACAUUGUACCCACUAUGAAAUUUCUCAUCAUCCACUCUUAGUUGCUUUUAUGCUCAGUUCUAAGGUGUCUCCAGACAGACAACAUUGCUUUGAGUCAUAUCAGAGUCAGCAUAAGUGGAAGUAGACUAUUUAAAGAUUGUAUUAAUAUCUGAGGCAAGCUAGAAUUACUGAUAAGACUGUAAUAAUGUUACAAGAAGAAGAAGAAGGCACUAUAAAGUAUUCUUCCUAUUAACGUUUUAUUCCCUUUCUCUCACUUUGAAAAAGAUUGUACUGAAACGGUUUCAUAGAGCAAUGUAAUAUAAAACACAACUGAAAAGUAACAUAACAGGUAUCAAACAGCUGGGCUGUUUCGGAUGUCAUUAACCUGUGUAGCUGAUGCUUGGUGGCUCUGGAUGGCCUGUGGCAUGGAAGGUGGGAUGGGGUCAUUCCACCCCUAAAUUUUCAGAAAUUUCUUAAUUUCUUAAUUGAUCUCCCUAUCUUCAGAGCUUCUUCCCCAUAACAUAUCCGGGACUUUGCUUCCAUCUGUCAAGUGCCACUGCUUCUAAAAAAGCACCCAGGAGCUCCCACCUGUCCCCCUUUUCCCCCAUGUUUAGCAAUCAAGGCCCUCCACACUUUGGCCAUACUUCACCUCCUUCCUACUAAUUCCCAAAAUGCAUGGCUCAGCUCUGUCAAAAUGCUAUCACUACCCCCAAGGAACAUACUUUGCCCUAAAUAACAUUCUCAGAGAGACUGAAUGUAGUCACCGAAUUGCUGCUGCUGAAGCAUUUACAGAUCCUAGUUUGAAAAAUGAGUUAGGCCUAGAAUUAUAUAUGUUGCAUCUAACAGAAAUAACCCAAAAGAUGAAAAGAAGUUCCUAUAGCCCUUGCUUACAUACACUCACACACACACACACACACACACACACACACACACACACAACCUGAUGAUAAAAGAAACUCAGCAAUCUAAGAAAGUAAAAUGCAAGGCAGAAGGAACCAAGGCAAGCCAAUGAAUGCCAGUUGCCUUCUUGGUUUUGAAACACAAUGGCCUUGCAAAUGCUAAUGUUGAAGAAAAAACUAUUUCUAAGAUUAUCAAAGGAUAACUGAUUUUUAGUUGUUCAAAAUAAGGAUAAUAUUACUAAUUGCAGUAGAAGAUUGACAAAAGCAGGAAGGAGGAAGGGAAAGGAGUUAGCAGAUUUUUUCAUAUACCCAAGCUUAUAACCCAUACUGCUGGUGGAUUCAUUCUUGUCAAUAAAUUACAUUAUCUGAUAUCCUAAAUUUUCAAGAAAAACAAAAACUUAGCCAAGUAAAUUAAUCUGUACAUAGGAUAUUUACAUUUGUUAGAAUGGCAAAAUAGUUAAAACAUUGUCUCCAUGUUGGGAGACUGAAAAUAACCCCUGAUUACUAGAUGACAAAAUAGAUAAGUAUAGAAUUUAAUAAUUAUAUUAUUUAAUGAUUCAUGAGAUUACAUGUAUGCCAUAGAGUGUUGUCCAUAGGGAGAUGGGUUAUAAUUUUGAACAGAGUGGAAGCCCUAAAAGUGAUAUUUGUGCAUGAGCCAAGGCUUGGCACCAUGUAGCUUCAGGAUAACAGCUCCGCCAUUAUGCACACACAGACAUUUCCAUAUAUCACUGUACCUCGUCUCUUAAGCAGAAACAAGAAUGCAGGGAGAUGUAUGUAUGAGAGAGAUGGAGUAAGGGAAAGAAGUAAGAGGUACAGUCCAAUGGCUUGCCAUAGACGCUUUUGACGUGCAUAGCAGGGAGUUGAUGCCGUGGAUAAUAUGCCACGUAAAUCACGUCUCCACUUAGCAUGUGGCACAAAGCAGAUCUGUGAGAACAACAGUGAUAGAAGCCGGUAACUCUGUUGAUUACUAAUUUUGUCUACCCUAAGCAACCACCCCUUAUUGAGGACAACAAUGAAAAAUAAACACAUCUUAUUUCUGCAUGAAGUUACCACGAAUAUUUUGCAAUGAAAAGUCAAGACUCUCAAUAUGUUGCUCUGGCAGAGGAUCUGAACAAUGUGGAAAUGAGAGACAUCCACAUAGAGCCAGUUAUCUCCAUGUUCACACAGCCUUUGACAUCUUGUGCAACUGGGAUCCAUCCUUCUGGGGCAGCUUUACAAAAGCUGCUUCUUGACAUAUCAAAUCACCACAGCAAAUUGUGUCUUAAAAAUAAAUUGUCACAACUUACAGAUUAGAUACCUCAAGCAUAGUAGAUGUUCAGUAAUGCUUGUUGUUAUGAUUUGAUUUGAUAAGGGCCUUCACUCUUAAAUUAACUUCAAAUCAGAUUAAUCUGAGAUAUUCAAAUUAAAAUGAUGAUGAAGGUGGGGGUGGUGGUGGUGAUGAUGAUGAUGAUUUGUCAAAGGGAUUCUUCAUUUAUAGACAAGGCAGAAGACAUUAUCAGUGGUAUGCAUAUACUAUUCCCCAACUUAGUCAAGUUACCCACCAAAUUCCGUAUGUGAUAAGCAUAUUUCCCUUUUACCGCAUCAUCAAGCAAAUAAAAACACACUUUUCUCAUGUACUCCAAGAAUCAUGCUAUCAUCAUAAAAUUAGCUAUAGAAACUGCAUUCUCUAAAUUUUAAGAGAGAAAAUGUGUCCCUUGACCAAGAUCUCUAUUCCUCACUGGUGCAUUGUAUUCCAGCUAGAUGUUUUCCCAUAGGGUAGCUCUGAUGCUGCCUCCUCUGUGAGCACCUCUCUUUCCAUGCUUUUCCGCUACCUCUCUAUACUCCAGCUAACCUGGUCUAUCUAUCUGAGUCCUUCUACCUGGAAUAUGGUCCUUCUACCUGGAAUAUUUUUUCCUCAGGCCUUCUCUGGCUUCUUCCACUUUAUUCCUUGGAUCUCAGCUUAAUCAUCUCUUUGGCAAGUAUCCAUGAUCCAAACUGGGUUAGUGCCGCUCCCAAGACCCCCUUUAUUAACCCUGUACUGGCACUUAAAACAUACUCUAUUGUAUUUGCCAGCUCCUUGGCCUGUCUGCAAGUUCCUUCAGGCAUGCUGCCAUCAUUCUCAUUUAUCACUGUAUCUCCUGUGCCCAGCUUUAAAAAUAUUAGGUAAAUGAGUGAAAAAAGAAAAUGUACUAUAGUUGCCUCUGUUAGAAUGUUUUUCUCCCAUGCAAUUCCAGAUCUACAAGCAGACCUGCUUAUUGAGUUUAUUGAAUUUCUACCUUUUUUUCUGAAAAUCAGAAUAUCUCAGGGUCCAUAAAUCUGUGAGAAACUCGUGGGAAGCAGAGCAGCACAUAACAGCAAGAUGAUUUUCCCCUUCCUUUUGUCUUUAGGGGUCAAGAAUUCUUGUCUCAUGGUUCAGGCAUUGUGUUAACUAUUUCUGUGCAUUCUUUAAGCAUAGUUGUAACUGUAGUUUUGAUUGAAAUAUUAACCUAUAAGUGAUUUGGAAUAUCAAAAUAAACAUUCAUAUCACAGAAGUUUUUUUUUUUUUUGCUCUUGAGAGAAUACGAAGUAGGUUGAUUUUUCUGCCAUUACUAUGAUAUAUGUACAUUGCAAAACAUUAUGCUAACUAGCUAGCUUAAGAAUAUAUGUACAUAUAAAAUGACAGAGUGACAAAUUUAUUAGCCAAUUUGCUGUUUGUUAUAAGGAAGUUGCUGUCUGGAAAGGCUUCAGAACCCUGUCCAGCUCUACCUCCCCUUCUGACUUUUCGUUUCCUGUGUCUGGGAACCUCAUUGCCUUCUCUCAUGGUCAUGUUAAGUAAUUAUUCUCAUGUGAGGUUACUCUGCUAACCCUCGGCAUUUGGCUCACAGCACAGUUAUUCCCGCGUCAGUGAUGGGGGAUGGAAACCGUCCAUCACUGCAAGACUGUUCCCAUGGCUGAGGAGGGAGAGAUGGUUUCAGUCCUGUUCUUGUUAGUAACGUGUUGAGAUGUAAAUAGAUUCAUGGCUGAUGAUGUUCCCCCAUCAAAGAGUUCAUUUAGCUCAUAGGAAGAGUUUGCUAUAUUCUAAAUUUAACAUAAAAUAAUGAUGCAGGAAAGUUUUAGGUUUAAGAAAAUAAUUUUCACAUGAUACAUUGUGUAUGCGUGUGUGUGCUUGUGUGUGUGUGUAAAUGUUGCUCUGGUUCCAGCAUUCUGAUCAAUAAAAGCAGAAGUUCAGGCCAUUUUAUCCUGAAGUAUUUCUAUAGGGUAGUCUUAUGAGUUGCUUGAUUAUUAUACAAAGUAUAUACAGUUAGUAUAAAGAGUGUGCAAACUAAAAUGAAGGGGGCUGAGGAAUCAAGUGUGUUGUCGCUGAAGUUGAUUUUGAGACUGGAGUGGUUAAAUAAAGGCUGUUCUAAGAAAUUCCAUCAAAAUAAAUUUGAUAUACUGCCAGAAAUUCUACAACUGCCUUCUGGAUCUACCACAUUCUCUUGGGAGUUAGAACUACUGCUUUCUAUAGCUACAAUUUUAUUCUUAACUAGGUCUAGUUUUUAUUGGAAAAACUGUCCUAAGAUUAAAAGUUAAUAGUUGAAAUUAAAUUUAAUAAUAAAACUGAAUGUGUCAUUCAGCAUUAAUUUUUGGUAGCCUUAUGUUUCAAUUUGAACAUCAAAUAUUAUGUAAAACUGCAUGCUCUGAAGCAUCUAUUUAAAUUUGGUACAUUUUUGCAGAAGAGCAACCUGGAAAAAAAUUAAAUAAAUAAAUUUGGAAGGUUUGAAGCCUUCAAUGUUCUGGGGCUCAGGAGCCUAAAAUCAAAUGUGCCCUCAGAAAGACUUAAUAUUAUUUUAGGUUGUGCACAUUUAGAGGUCGCUUCUCAGAACUUAAACACCUCUAAGAGUUUUAUUGACACUCUAACUUUUAAAACAACUUCCUUGGAGACUAGUACCAAGAGAGGAAGCAAGUCAAAUCUUGCAUCUCAUACUUGCCCUAAACAUGAGACUCCUGUUAUUUUAGAUCAAAUUUAUACUAGAAGGCAAUAAAGAUGGCAACUCAUUCACCACUUGUUUACUCAGUAAUAUAAGGUAUUUAUUCUCUAGCUGCUCUUCAUUUAUUCAAUAAAGACAUUGGGUAAAUAGCAGCAAACAAAACAGAUAGAUAUCCUUGCCCUUGUGGAUUCUGGUAGAAGAGCAAGACAAAAAGGGAAAUAAGUAAGUAAAUACAUAGUAUGUAAGAUAAGUGCUAAGUAGAUAAGUACAAUGGGAAAAGAGAGUGGAAAGAAGAGAGAUAUUGAGUGGGUGACCUCAAUACAAGGUGACAGUUGAGUAAAAGAAGGGAUGAAGGAGCAAACAAUGCCACUAUGUAAGGUAAGAGCAUUCCAUUAGAGGAAACAUCAAGUGCAAAGGCCCUGUGGCAGGAAUGUGCCUGGAGGGUUAAAGGAAGAGCAAGGAGGCCAUCGUGGUUGAGUGGGAGAGAGAGAGUCGUGGCAAAUGAGAUCACAAGGAUAUGAGGGUGGAGCAAGAGUAGGGGAGAGGUAGAGCACAUAGGGCCUGAUAGCAUGGUGACUAUAUCAUCUAUUGUCCAAACAGGACAAUUUUGAGAGUGAAGGGAGACACUAUUAUGUCAGGACAAUAGGCAUAAACCAGGACUGUCCUGGGUAAACAAGGAAAACCUAUACACCUUUAAAAGUCUUUGGCUUUUUUCUCUGAAUGAGAUGGGAAGUUUUUGGAAAGUUAUGUCCAGAUGAGUGACAUGAACUUGUUUACAUUUUAACAGGAACAUUCUGGCCAGGCACAGUGGCUCAUGCUUGUAAUCCCAACACCUAGGGAGGCAGAGGUGGGAGGAUAGCUUGAGCCUAGGCGUUGGCUGCUAUGUUGAAAAGUAUUUCCUAAAUCAAUGAAGGGAAAAUAUGCAAUCUUAAAAUAUGUUAUAUAUACUAAUAUAUAACAUGAGAAUAUUACCUAAAGUGUAGCGUUUACUCUAUGCCAAGCUAAGUCGUAUGACCCUCCCAACAAAUCUAUGACAUGCUACUGUUGCCUGAAUGAUAAUAUGAAAAAAGUGAGUCCCAGACUGUUAAGUAACUUCCUCAAAGUCACACAGCUAGAAAUGGCAGGUCCAGGAUUUGGAUCCAGCCUGAUCCCAGAGGCUGUGCUGUUAGCCAGCCUGCCGUACUGUUCUUCCACACACCUCGUAAGACAAACCUUAUCAUUACCAAAAUGUCAUCCCUAACACAAAUAGAUUUUCAAAGACUGUUCAAAGAAGAAAAUCAUUUCCUUUAUCUUCUCCACUAAAUCUAACAGCUUCAUUAGUUCCUUCUUUAAGACAGAAGUAACACAUUGUAAAGAAAAUGUACAAUAGAUUGCACUCCAAAAUAGCAUCUAUGUUGUAAGUCUUGCAGAUGGCCUUGGGACAUCUGGUGAACAGGAUUUGUGUAGCCUAUGUUCAUUGUCAUGUCAGUGAGGUCAACUGACAGAAGGAGAGCCAGAAAAUAAAAAAUAAAUAAACUGAGAGGAAAGAUUGAGUUAUUUGAUGGACUGAUUGCCUCGACACCUCUGCUCAGAGAAAUGCAUUUUGCCAAACGAAUGGCUCAUCUAGUUAUCACUUGAAAGGCUAGGCAAUUUGUCUGUGGACAGGAUACAGAAGAAUGAAUGUCUAUGGCUAGCCCAUAGUUUCAGCUGGGUUAGAAACAUCAGGCUUGACUGAUAAAGCUAGAGGUUGCUUUUCUAGACUUUUCUCCUUGGGGGUUUACCAGAUGCACAGGAGUUAAAAGGAGGAUGUGGAAGCAUAACAGAUGACAUUUGUGGAUAUGUCUAAACUGAUCAUUAAAAAGAUGCCAGCAAUCCUCAAUUUUUAAAGAUUUGCAUAUAAAACGUACCUUUUGUGAAACCUUUCCAUUAAAUCUAAUGCAUAAGGAACUUCAUUAUUAAUUCCUAAUUUUAAAAGCAACAAAUAAAGGAAACAUUAUUGAACAUUU